ACUAUGGAAACGGGGGAAGCGGUUGACUUGAGGGUCAGGAACCGGUUUGGGGGAAGGGAGCGGGAUCCGUUCAGGAACUGGGCGUGGUCUCGGUUACCAAGGCAUCAGGGACGCUCAGACCUGGCCUCAGCCCAGUUUUGAGGCCAAUGAACCUCCCAUCCUUCUCAUGGCACCCAAGAAGGAGAAACCUACCGGGAGCACAAGCUAUAAGAUAUGGGAACCCUCACUCAUUGCUGCACAUAUGAACCAGAAUGAUUGGAAGGCCUCCAUCGCCUUCGUGGUUGGGAACCGAAUUGAGGAUGAGCUUCCCAUUCAUGCCCUCAACCUGGCUGUCCAACUGCCUCAGCGGAAACUCUUCAGUAUUGUGUCAUGGAAAGACAUUCUGCAGCAGAUCAAUGAAAUACAGGCCCUUGUUGGAGCUACUACUAAAAAGGGGAAGAAGACCAUAACUGGCAACUUACCAUUACACUAUGAGGUGUUGCUGGCAGCAAAAACAAUCAUGGACAAUGGAGAGAAGCUGACCUUACCAUUGGUAGGGAAACUCUUGAAAUUUCAACUCCUGCAGAUUAAAACCAAGGACCAGCAGAGGCGAGAAAACGAAAAGAAGAUGAUAGAAGAAAGAGCAAAGUCGGAGAAGGACAAAGGAAAAGGGAAGUCUCCCAAGGAGAAGAAGGCCGCCACUGUUAAGGCUGGGAAGGGAAAGAGCAAGGACCAGCCCGAGGCCACCGUAACAGUGAAGAAGACCACGCAGUUAAAACGGAGGGGAGAAGAUGACGACACCAAAUUCUACAUCGACGAUGAGCCGGACGAUGGUGCCCAACAUUACGUUAUUGUUGUGGGCUUCAACCAUCCUCAGCUAUUGGCCAUUAUGACUGAACUUGGCAUUCCUAUUACCAGUGUGAUUAAAAUAUCUUCAGAGAAUUAUGAACCUCUGAAGACAUACCUGGCAGCAGUCAUGCAGCAACAGGAAGCUCUCCUUCAGCCGGAAGAUAUAGCAGCUGAAAAUUUGAAGAGAGAAAAUGACAUUAAGGAACUUGAGGUCUUCUGGAAGUACUUGGAACCAAUCCUGAAUAAUGAGAAGCCUGAAACAAAUCUCUUGGAUGUUGCUCGACUCCACUACAUGGUCAAGACAAAACAUUUCCCUUCUGACUGGUCAGACUAUGAGCAGAUGCUUGACCUAGGCACGGAGAUCUUUGAAAAUGUCGCCUGUUUGAUGUACGACAGCCUGGACUGGAAGAGGCAGCAUCAUCACUAUCUGCAAAGCAUGCAGCUCAUCAAUGUCCCACAAGUGGUUAGCGAUAAGACCAUGUUGGAAGCGAUCCCGAUUCCAGAGCCUCCACCAUCAACUGCUCCAGCCCCCGGAAAGAAGAAAGCACAGUAUGAGGAAUCACAUGCUCCCCCAUCAGUGGCUUUUAUCAUCACAACUGAAGUAGACAUGCGGUAUUACAAUGACCUGCUGAAUCCAAUUCCAGAGGAAUUUAUUUCAGUGCCCCUGAUACUGCACUGUAUGCUGGAACAGGUUAUAGCAACGGAAGAGGAUCUCACCCCGCCGAGUUUGGUGGAGCCAGCCCCCAGAGCAGAUGGGUUAGACUACAGAAUCGCAGCUCACAUCGUGUCCAUCCUGCCUUCCCUCUGCCUCACUGAGAAGGAAAAGAAGAAUCUCCACGAGAUAUUCUUAACUGAAGGAGAGAGCGAAAGCAAAACCCCACCCAAAGGCCCUCUCCUGCUGAACUACCACGACACGUAUGCCCACAAGAAGUACGCGCUGAAGGACCAAAAGAAUUUUGACCCGGUUCAAAUUGAGGAGGAGAUGCAAUCCAAGCUGCCACUGUGGGAAUUCCUUCAGUUCCCUCUGCCGCCUCCGUGGAACAGCACUAAACGGCUUGCCACCAUUCAUGAACUGAUGCAUUUCUGUACCAACGAAGUUCUGAGCUGGAAUGAAGUAGAACGAGCCUUCAAGGUAUUUACUUUUGAAAGCCUGAAGCUCUCAGAGGUGGAUGAGGCAGGACGGCUCAAGCCCACCGAGGUGAUCAGUGAGACAAAUGUUGAAAAUGUCAACAUUCCUUGGGACAAUCCUGCCAGGUUCGCUAAGCUGAUAAGACAGCGGUACAUCCACAGGAUGAGCAUACAGAAGGCCAAGCCAGUAUUAGUAGAAACCGAACACAAAGACAGAACACUAUUCGUGAACCAGAAUUUUGCCAAAGCUGAGCAAGAUGCACAAGGAGAUGAAAACUCCCCAAAUUGUGAUCAUCCUGCUGCUAACAAUGUGAUGGGGUCUACUUCCAACUCCACGAGACCCCGGUAUUCUAGUGAUAGACAGCUCACAGAGAAAGAGACCAGUGGGUCCAUGUGUCCCCAACCAGAGUCUGUGGAGCAGAUCAUGGACACUGAGAUCAAAGGUGGAGCAGCCACAAAGGAUGAUUCUCUUGAAAAGAAACCCAAGAAGAUGGUGGUGGAGGCCGACAUAGAGGACAUUAAAAAAACACAACAGCGCAGUUUAAUGGACUGGAGCUUUACUGAACAUUUUCAGCCGAAAGUCCUGCUUCAGGUUCUUCAGGAGGCUCAUCAGCAGUACCGAUGUGUUGACUCGUACUACCACACGCAGGACAAUUCCUUACUUCUCGUCUUUCAUAACCCAAUGAAUCUACACCAUCUGCAUUGUGAAUAUUGGAAUAUUGCUCUUCAUUCCAACGUUGGAUUCAGGAAUUACUUAGAACUUGUUGCAAAAUCUAUUGAAGAAUGGGUCAUACAGGAAGAAGCAAAGUACCAGGAAGCCAAAAUGGCUGAGGAGCUCAACAGAGCCAAGAAUGAGUUGGACUUGAAAGCUACUACUGCCAAAACUUCUGCUAGCAAAAUUGGUGGCCCCAAAAAAUCUAAAAGUAACAAAGUGUCCAGCAAAACAGAGCUAACAGACCAAGAAAAAGAUAAAGAGAAAGAGAAAGAAAAAGAGAAAGACAAGAUCCCCUUCAUAUUAGAAGGCUCUCUCAAGGCAUGGAAGGAAGAACAAGAGAGGUUGGCUGAGGAGGAACGCCUGAAGGAGGAAAAGAAGGCAGAGAAGAAGGGGAAGGAAGCAGGUAGAAAGAAAGGCAAGGAUAAGGCAGACAAAGAAGACACUAAGAGUUUGAAAAAAAAGUCGUCUUCCAAGGAGAAACCUAAGGAAGAACCAUCUAAGUCGCUGGAAGCAAUAGAGGAAGCCGUCCCACUUCCAGAACCGGAAAUUGUUUACCCGUUCCGAGGAUACAAUAUGGGAGACAUUCCUAUCCAAAUCUCAGGGACAAAUUACUAUCUGUAUCCUUCUGACGGUGGGCAGAUUGAAGUGGAAAAGAUCAGGUUUGAACGAGGCCCAACUUUCAUCAAAGUGAAAGUAAAAAAAGAUAAACACAGUUUUAUAAUUCACCUGAAAGAUCCAAAGGAAAUCGUGAAAAGGGAAAAGGAAGAGGAGCACUCAGAAGAAGAGGAAGAGGAAGAGGAGGAGGAAGAGGAAGAGGAAGAGGAAGAGAAUGAACAGAAGGAAGGGAAAGAGGAGAAUGUUAAACAAAAUGUGGAAAUGAAGAGAACACAGAUAAAGAAGGAAGCUGUCAGCAAGUUUGGAUCCUUUUCUGCCACCUUAGAAAAUGGAAUCUGCCUCUCCAUAAGUUACUAUGGAUCAAAUGGAAUGGCGCCAGAGGUUAUGGAUUCUGAUUUGGAAGCAAUGAUGAAUAUCCCUUCAGCUAUGACAGCAACAGUGGUUCCCUCUAUAGUUACUGUUCCCCAAGGCAAAGGCAAAACUAAGCCGAAGGGCAAAGAAAAACACAAAGAUUCCUUUAAAGAAGAGGAACUUCCAAAAGAAGAAGAAAAGAAGAAUCACUCACAGGAAGAAGUAGAACCAGAGAUUGUUAUACAGGAAACACCUUAUGUGCCCACCUUCCAAAACCUAAAUGUAUCUUGCCCCAAUGGGCUCCUGCUUACCUUCAUUGGGCAAGAAUCUACAGAUGAAGAAUCUACCUGGAACCUCAUGAUCCGCCAGAGCUACCCCCAGAGGUUGAAGCACUAUGAAUUCUAUAAAGCAGUGAUGCCACCCACAGAGCAGGAGGCAUCAAGAGUUGUCACCAGCCAGGGCACCGUUAUCAAGUAUAUGCUGGAUGGAUCCACACAGAUUCUUUUUGCAGAUGGUGCUGUGAGCAGCAGUCCUGACUCAGGUCCUGUUCAUGCAUCUCCUGAGACGUCUGCAAGCCCCCACAAUGGAGAUGUGGCAGACAACACUUCUCAGCAUAAAUCCGAAACAGCACCUUCUGAGAUCAUCACCAAGAAAGGAAAAGGUCACAAAAAUCAAACAUCAACGGCAAGUAAGAGCGAAGCCCAUGAUACUCUCCCAGAAGUGGUUCCAACUCCUAUGGAGUCCCACACUGGCACCUGGUUUACAACAACGCCUGAUGGAAGGAGGAUCGGCACCAAAGGCCUAGAGAAAAUCACCAACUUGAAACCAUUUUUAUUCUUCCAGGCUACAGAUCCCAUCAAUGGAACGGUCAUGACUACUCGAGAAGACAAGGUGAUCAUUGUUGAGAAGAAGGACGGGACCCGGAUCGUGGACCAUGCCGAUGGUACCAGAAUCACAACCUUUUACCAAGUGUAUGAAGAUCAUAUUACUCCCCCAAAUGAUGAAGAAACAACCGAAGAUCCAAGGACUGUCACUAGACAGGUGAAGUGCAUGCGGAUAGAAAGCUCGCACUAUGCCACUAUUAUCACGAACUGCGAGGACAGUAGCUGCUGUGCCACUUUUGGGGACGGAACAUCUAUUAUUGCAAAGCCACAGGGAUCAUACCAGGUGCUACCUUCAAACACAGGCUGCCUUUAUAUCGACAAAGACUGCUCGGCCACAUAUUGCCAUGAAUUGAGCAGUAAUAUGUACCAUCCCUUCCAGAAGCGUGAAGAGCUGAGAGCCAGCAGGUACAUCAUGAAGCACACCUCAGAGGUGAUCUGUGAGGUCCAGGAUCCCGAGGGGAACAUCUUUAAGGUCAUGGCUGAUGGCUCUGUAUCAACAGCGUUACCUAAAAAGAAGCUAGAAGACAAGUUGAAUGUACAGACGGAGGGCUACGAAAGCUUAUCAUCACUUCACCUUGAAAAGAAUCGCAUGCAGAUCUAUGGUGAACAUGUUCCCAGAUUUUUUGUUGUCUAUACUGAUGGAUCAGGAGUGGAACUUCUCCGAGACAGUGACAUAGAAGAAUACUUAUCCUUGGCCUAUGGAGAGUCAACGACUGUGGUUCUCCAGGAACCAGUACAGGAACACCCAGGUGCCCUGAGCAUCACAGUCCUUCGCCCUUUCCAUGAGGCAUCACAAUGGAUCAUGAAGAAGGAGCUGGACAGCAUCGUUCCUCCAAAUCUCCAGUCGAGAUCAUGGGAGACAUUUCCUUCAGUUGAGAAAAAGACUCCAGGACCACCAUUUGGCACUCAGAUUUGGAAAGGCCUCUGUAUUGGGGCUAAGCAGCUGACAAACAUCCCAGCUCCUAUACUUGAAGGCCCCAAGGUGCUACAGAUGCGUCAGUUCAUCCAGCACGAAGUCAUAAAGAACGAGGUGAAACUGAAGCUGCAAAUUUCCCUGAAGGACUAUAUAAACCACAUCCUGAAGAAAGAAGAUGAGCAACAAGAGAUGACAGUCAAGGAUUCCAGAACGGAGGAGGAGAGAGGCAAUGCUGCAGAUCUCCUCAAGCUGGUUAUGUCUUUCCCUAAAAUGGAGGAAACUACAAAAAGUCACGUGACUGAAGUUGCUGCCCACCUAACAGAUUUAUUCAAGCAAUCUAUGGCUUCGGCUCCAAAAUGUUCACCAGAAAACUUCACUAAAGAUUUCUUUGAAAAGAAGUGGAGGGAGGCUCCACAAGGAAAGAGUUGGAAAGAAAAGCUUGAGCAACAGAGGAACAAUAUUAAGAAAACACAAAAUUACCUAAUGCAAAUUAGGACAAAAGAAGUAACGCCUUAUUUUAAGUCUGAAUUGAGCCCAUUGAUUAAGUCACAGUAUGAUUAUCUGGAGAAGCUUUCCAAAAACCUGCCUCCGUUUACAAAGAAAAAUGAGGCUGAAACCAAGACAGCUGACCCAGAUCUUCACUCAGAUUCUACACUGACUGUAGAUGCAAAAAAAGAAGUCUCAGAUGCACAUCCCCUUCCAAACCAGGAGGUUGCUGAGAAUAGCCAGGAAUCUACUGGCCAAAAGGAAACUGAAUAUGUAACCAAAUAUCUCCAGACCUCUUCUCCCCCAAACCAAUAUGAACAUUUAACAAAAUCUCCCAAGGAGUCAUAUAGUCAAAGUCAAAGUGAAAUUGAAACCAACGCUACCAAGGAACCUGCUGGCCAGAACCACACUGAAAAGUUUAAAAUUUCUACCAAGAAGUCUGCUAGCCAAAACCAAAUUGAAAAUCUAAUAAAAUCUACCAAGGAGCCUGCUGGUCAAAGCCAAAUGGAAAAUAUCUCCAGACCGCCUACUGAAGAACCAGAAAAUUUUAUGCCAAUCAAAAUUCCAACCCAGUCAUUGCUGCAGGAUGUUACUGGAAAAGCAAGAAAAGAGAAAGUGAGGUUACCUCAUUACAUGAUGAGCUGCAAGCCCAAGUGUCAGCCUCACACCAAGGUGGAAGAUUCUGUUGGAGGAAAAGUGAACACAUCCUCCAUUGCAUGUGCUGCUAUUUAUAACCCAGACGUAUCCCCUUUCGGGUUCCACCUUCUCCCACCAUCAAUACAGUUUGGAGUGCUUAAAGAAGGACACACCUAUGCAACGAUUGUGAAGCUCAAGAAUGUUGGUGUGGACUUCUGCAGGUUUAGAGUGAAGCAGCCCCCACCCAGCACGGGACUGAAAGUGACAUAUAAACCUGGGCCUGUGGCUGCUGGCUUGCAAGCAGAGCUAAAGGUAGAGCUAUUUGCCAUGGCUGUUGGAGAAGACGGCGCCAAGGACUCAGCACACAUCUCCCACACCAUUGAAAUCCUGACGGAGCACGAUGUUCUAUUCUUACCCGUGGAGGCAACAGUUUUAACAAGCAGUAACUAUGACAAUCGACCAAAAGAUCUUCCCCAGGGAAGAGAAAAUCCCAUGGUCUACAGGACUUCCACAAUCUCCUCCUCUGCACUUGGAGUCGUCAUGUCUCAGAAGGCCACUCGUCAUUAGUUCUAGGACAGAUUUAUCUUGCCCAGCUUCAGAGGUUUCAGUACAUCAUACACGUGAUAAUGAUGAUCACAGCAGCAUGCUAAAGCAGUUGAGUUUGUAACACAGUGGCCCAGGAGGCAGAGACAGGAAGUGGUCAGAAAGAGCAGUCAGUGACUGACUUCCUCCAGCAAAGCCCCACCUUAGAAAGUUUUCACAUUCCCCAAAGCAGCACCACCGUCCAAUCAUGAUCCUCCGAGGAAUAUCACAUAUUCAAAUCAUGACAUCUUACCCCAAAUAUUCAUGCUACUCCAUAAGUUUCUUCUCGGUACAGCUCAAUUGCCUCCAUGAUCCUCUCAGCCUACACAGACGACAAAGGAAGAGAUCACCCAGUGCACACCCACGACACCCAAGAGCUGGGAAGGCCUGGCUAAUGUAGCCUGAAUCAGCUUAAUAAAGACAUGGCAGCCGGAGUGCAGCGCAGCACUUAGAGUUGUCGGUUUUCUCUUAUUUUUAAUUUGUAAGAAAGAGACCAAAUACCAUGGACUCAGACGAGACCAUAUGGGACACAAUAGGGCAGCUCCUGGGAACACCGAAGAGAUGAGCUCCCCUACUGCCCCAUGCUGGUCAGACCAAGUCCAAGGGCAUCAGACAAAGGCAAUGAGCAACUCCUGGAAUUCAUCUACUUUGUGCCACACAGAGCUAUGUGGCUAACACAGGGUAAGGAUUUUACUAAAAAGUCAGAAACCCAUUAUAAGAGCCAACCUACCGCUUUGACUGUUUCAAUUGUCUUCUUCCCAGUGAAGUAGUUGUCACCCUGGGUCUCCCCUGGAACCUGCCAGACAUAUGAGAUCCUGAACAAGACGGGUAUUAUUUUAUAAAAAUGCCACAGUCACUAUCUCCCAUUAAGGAUAGGUACAAUAUUAAAUGUUUUAUUUGUAUCA